rnacentral:sRNA from 1 species
GAGGAUGAGAACCUCCGGGGGCAGGGAGGUUCGACUCGAGCGAAGCGAGAGAACGUUGCGCCAGCAACGGCCCGCAGGGCGAGCCACGAAGUGGCGAGUAAUCCUCUAUCACCGACC